UACGAGGGGGGCGAGCGUUGUUCGGAAUUAUUGGGCGUAAAGGGUGCGUAGGCGGUUUGGUAAGUCUUAUGUGAAAUCUAUGGGCUCAACUCAUAGUCUGCAUGAGAAACUGCCGGGCUUGAGUAUGGGAGAGGUGAGUGGAAUUCCUGGUGUAGCGGUGAAAUGCGUAGAUAUCAGGAGGAACACCUGUGGCGAAAGCGGCUCACUGGACCAUAACUGACGCUGAGGCACGAAAGCGUGGGUAGCAAACAGG
rnacentral:rRNA from 1 species